AGAAUCAACGCUGGCGGCGUGCCUAACACAUGCAAGUCGCACGAGAAAGGGGCUUCGGCCCUGAGUAAAGUGGCGCACGGGUGAGUAACACGUGAAUUAUCUACCUCCGAGUGGGGAAUAACUGAGAGAAAUCUUAGCUAAUACCGCAUAACACUUACGAGUCAAAGCAGCAAUGCGCUUGGAGAGGAGUUCGCGGCAGAUUAGUUAGUUGGCGGGGUAAUGGCCCACCAAGACGAUGAUCUGUA
rnacentral:rRNA from 1 species